UACGUAGGGUGCAAGCGUUAAUCGGAAUUACUGGGCGUAAAGCGUGCGCAGGCGGCUUUGCAAGACAGAUGUGAAAUCCCCGGGCUUAACCUGGGAACUGCAUUUGUGACUGCAGGGCUGGAGUGCGGCAGAGGGGGAUGGAAUUCCGCGUGUAGCAGUGAAAUGCGUAGAUAUGCGGAGGAACCCCAAUGGCGAAGGCAGCUCGCUGGGACGGUACUGACGCUGAGGCGCGAAAGCGUGGGGAGCAAACAGG
rnacentral:rRNA from 1 species